rnacentral:rRNA from 1 species
UACGUAGGGUGCAAGCGUUAAUCGGAAUGACUGGGCGUAAAGGGUGCGCAGGCGGUCUGCUAAGACAGAGGUGAAAUCCCCCGGGCUUAACCUGGGAAUGGCCUAUGUGACUGGCAGGCUAGAGGAUGGCAGAGGGAGGCGGAAUGCCACGUGUAGCAGUGAAAUGCGUAGAGAUGUGGCGGAACACCAGUGGCGAAGGCGGCUACCUGGACCUCGGCUGACGCUGAGGCGCGAAAGCGUGGGGAGCGAUCCGG